rnacentral:rRNA from 1 species
GACGAACGCUGGCGGCGUGCUUAACACAUGCAAGUCGAACGGAAAGGCCCUGCUUUUGUGGGGUGCUCGAGUGGCGAACGGGUGAGUAACACGUGAGUAACCUGCCCUUGACUUUGGGAUAACUUCAGGAAACUGGGGCUAAUACCGGAUAGGAGCUCCUGCUGCAUGGUGGGGGUUGGAAAGUUUCGGCGGUUGGGGAUGGACUCGCGGCUUAUCAGCUUGUUGGUGGGGUAGUGGCUUACCACGGCUUUGACGGGUAGCCGGCCUGAGAGGGUGACCGGCCACAUUGGGACUGAGAUACGGCCCAGACUCCUACGGGAGGCAGCAGUGGGGAAUAUUGCACAAUGGGCGGAAGCCUGAUGCAGCAACGCCGCGUGCGGGAUAACGGCCUUCGGGUUGUAAACCGCUUUCGCCUGUGACGAAGCGUGAGUGACGGUAAUGGGUAAAGAAGCACCGGCUAACUACGUG